UACGGAGGGUGCAAGCGUUAAUCGGAAUUACUGGGCGUAAAGCGCACGCAGGUGGCUGAGUCAGUCGAUUGUGAAAGCCCUGGGCUUAACCUGGGAAUUGCAGUCGAUACUACUCAGCUAGAGUAUGGGAGAGGGUAGUGGAAUUCCUGGUGUAGCGGUGAAAUGCGCAGAUAUCAGGAGGAACACCAAUGGCGAAGGCAGCUCCGCUGGAACGGUACUGACGCUGAGGCGCGAAAGGCGUGGGGAGCAAACAGG
rnacentral:rRNA from 1 species